CCACAAACCACCCCCCAGGUCCUCCGAGCCACCGGGGGGCGCCACCGGCCCCUUCACCCAUCCGCCCACUUCCGCCCGGAAGCUGCUCCACCCUCAUUGGACAGGGCGGGGGCCAAUGGGAGCGCGGGGCUUCGAGCCACGCCCCCCCCCCCCCCCGCGGCGCUGCGGCGCGCUUUAUUCCGCCACGUGACCGCCGUACACCCGCGCCGAGCGCAAGCCACGCCCCCCUCAAGCCACGCCCCCCUCUGGAGCAAGCCACGCCCACCUCCCGUUCCAGCGGGGCCCUCAUUAGAGCAGGUUCUCAUUAGGGCAGGAUCCCAUUAGGGCCAGUUCCCGUGCCCCAUAAGAGCAGGUUUCCCAUUAGGACCGCUUCCCAUGUCCCAUCCCGGCCCCAUUAGGGCAGGUUUCCAUACAGAACCAGUUCAAGUGUUCUGUACUGUCCCCAUUAGAGCAGGUUCCCCAGUUAGAACCAGUUCCCCUGCUCCAUCCUGGCCCCAUUGGGUCCAGUUCCUGUGCCCCAUCCCAGCAGGUCCCAGUUAGAACCAGUUCCCGUGCUCCAUCCCAGCAGGUCCCAGUCAGAACCAGUUCCCGUGCUCCAUCCUGGCCCCAUUAGGGCAGGUUCCCAUUAGGACCAG
rnacentral:lncRNA from 1 species